rnacentral:rRNA from 1 species
AAUCGUGGCCAAACCUUCUCAAAGCCUGAUCUCAUCCGAUCUCAGAGGUUUGGCAGGGUAGGGGCUGGUUAGUACUUGGAUGGGAGACCGUUGGGAAUUCCAGGUGCGACAGUGG